rnacentral:rRNA from 1 species
UACGGAGGGGGCAAGCGUUGUUCGGAAUUAUUGGGCGUAAAGAGUAUGUAGGCGGCUAGAUAAGUCAGACGUGUAAGCCCAUGGCUCAACCAUGGAAUUGCGUUUGAAACUAUUUAGCUUGAGUGCAGGAGAGGAAAGCGGAAUUCCCAGUGUAGCGGUGAAAUGCAUUGAUAUUGGGAAGAACACCAGUGGCGAAGGCGACUCUCUGGGCCAAUACUGACGCUGAGGUUCGAAAGCGUGGGUAGCGAACAGG